rnacentral:lncRNA from 1 species
GAACCCGGGGUCAUGGUGAUAACCAUAUAUGUGCGGACUUAUUGGUUCUUAUGCAUUCCACUUUUGCUCAUAUCUAUGUGCAAAGUGUUCUAUAAUUUUUGAACAAUGCAUAAGAAACUAGUAAUUAUUGGCACUCGAGUUAGAGUAAUUAGUCCGAGCGACGGUGAGGUGAUUUAGUUGUUGCAUCAAUUGAUUGAUUGUGUUCGUUAUGCCUUGUUGCUAGUAUCUAGUUGUAGAAUUGAUUGUCGUCUUAUAUUGCUAUAUCUGGAUAAUCAUCUGGAAUUAAAUUAAACUAGAAGACCAAAUUAGAUUAAAAAGUUGAGCCGUAGAUAUAAAAUAGGACUAGCAGUUCAAUUAAAUGGUUAUGUGCACAUAACACAUCCCAUAUGUGAGAAAUAUUUAGCCGGCCUGUUCUAAUUACCAUGAGCGUUUGUACUCAAAACUGUACUUAUUUGUAAUUUAUCGAAACAUCCAAUAGCCACUAGAAUGACUCUUGGAAAUUUCAAUCAAGAGUCGACAAGUAAAGAACAUACCACUCUAAUAACUCAGGCCACGUAAUAGCCCUGGAAAGAAAAAUAAAACAAAGAAAAGAGAUGGAGGGAUGGAAAGAACCGACUGAAGUAAGAAAGAGAGAAGGAAACCAAAUGACCUGGCAGGCAGAGGAGGAGCCACCGUAGCAAAGUUUGGCCACGUGGUGGUCAGAGUAAGUAUCAGGAGCAUGAGGAGGCCGCUCGAGGAGAAGAAAUAAAAAAAACGAACUAGAGAACAUCAGCUUCUUCAUUUCCCUUCGUUAGCAGUUCGUGGCAAUCCUCCAUGAACCAAGCUCUGAGCCAUAGUUUUCCCUGAGAAGGUGAAGUAUCAGGGGGGAAGAGAGGGAGCCAGCAGGGUCUAGGAACUAGGAAGGAGAUGGUGCAGCGGGGAGAGGUUGAUGCAGACGGGGAAGAGGGCCACACCGGCCCCGUUCCAGGCGUCAGAUCGAGGCGGCGGCGGCGGCGGCGAGAGGCUUAGGAGGAAGAGUGGAUUAAGAGACCAAUAGAGCUGGAGAAAUUUCUUGAGGUCUUAGGCGACCAAUUCCCCAACCAAAUUAUGUCACCCCCAAAUCCUCAACCAGUCAGGUAAUACCUUGUACU